ACUGGGCUUAAAGGGCGCGUAGGCGGCCUGCUAAGUCGAACGUGAAAUCCCCGGGCUUAACCCGGGAACUGCGUCCGAUACUGGCUGGGCUUGAAUCCGGGAGAGGGAUGUGGAAUUCCAGGUGUAGCGGUGAAAUGCGUAGAUAUCUGGAGGAACACCGGUGGCGAAGGCGACAUCCUGGACCGGUAUUGACGCUGAGGCGCGAAAGCUAGGGGAGCAAACGGGAUUAGAUACCCCGGUAGUCCUAGCCCUAAACGAUGAAUGCUUGGUGUGGCGGGUAUCGAUCCCUGCCGUGCCGAAGCUAACGCAUUAAGCAUUCCGCCUGGGGAGUACGGUCGCAAGGCUGAAACUCAAAG
rnacentral:rRNA from 1 species